AGUUCAAAUAAGUGUUCUUCUUUUUCAUCACCCUCUCCGGGGAUGAUUGAUUAUUUUUCUAUACACAGCAGUGCAGCAUCUGUCAGUACUUCUGGUGGGC
rnacentral:ncRNA from 1 species